GGAGGGGUGCUAGAGUGGUCGAAUAGACCGGUCUUGAAAACCGGCGUGGUGAAAGCCACCGUGGGUUCGAAUCCCACCCCCUCCGCCA
rnacentral:tRNA from 3 species